rnacentral:tRNA from 1 species
UGUGGUGUAGCUCAGUGGCAGAGCACUUGCCUAGCAUGUAUGGGGCACUGGGUUUGAUCCUUAGCACCAUAU